rnacentral:lncRNA from 1 species
GGAAGCAAUUCAUAAGUAAAAAAUGCAUAACGACGUUCAAUCUAAGGUAUGGAAGUUAACAAUAUUUUUAAGAUCCAAAAAUAAGACAAAAAAUCAGUAGGUACAAUUAGGUGGCAAAUUCAGUAUUAUUAACCUAUUUCAAACUUGAAUAAAAGUAUGAGCCAAUGACAUACCAGAGCAUAAACACAUACUUUCCUACCUAAUAUCUUAGUCCUUGUCUUUCCAUUGCCUCAUCCAAACAAGCAACCAUAUAUAUUCAAAUAGUGUAUAGCUAAUGAGUGCCAUAAAUAUAUACUGCCAAAACAGAGGACCUCAAUUUUAAGCAUAUACCUUAUCAAUGUUGUUGUUAGAACAAUUAGACUCGAAUUCCGAGAGCCGAUUUAAGCCAAAUAAGAGGUAUGUUAUUCUUCAACUUUGAAAGCUAUAAGAUAAGCAGCCUAUAACUCCUUUCAAAAUUCUGAGUGUGACAAUUAGCUCCCAUUAACUUCAAAUUUGUACCUAACAUGCUUAAACAUUCAACAAGGCACUUUAAAUUUAGAAGGAAAUUGGAUUAAUUUAGUAUACAUGUUAAAUUUGAUUCAACAAGUGUGUUUCAAGAUUACAUGGGGCUAUUUGCUAGAUAGUCAAAGUAGAAGGGGUUACUUGCAUUUUAAUGAAAGGCUGUAACACAAAAUCACUCCAAAAUGUAUUUCAAUUAUGUACCUGAGAUAUCAUUAAUGCCAAAAUGAAAGUUCUUCAUUUGUCUCGACCGCAAAGCUCUUACACUAGCAUCAUCAGUUUAAGCCUGGAGCAUCAUACAAGGAAAAU